CUUAUGCGUCUAAGAUAUUAACAGGGCAGAGGCUCUAGAGAGGAGGUUUGAUUUUCCUUUUCGGGAUUUGUAGCAUGAAUGCAAGAAUUUCUCCUGUAGGUAUGGCUUCAUUCCUCCAUUCGCCAUAUGCAAAUCUUGGUCUUCGAUUUGUUUUAUUUCCCAUGAGUGACCUAAGAUUACUGUCAUGCUAUGGAAGCCUAGAGUGUAGAGUGAGUCAAAUAUGUACUAGAUGCACUAAUUUAGCUCAUUGCCUUGCUUCAUGCACCUCAGGUUUGGAUAUGUCCUUACUUUCAUGGCUCAAUCAUCAAAUGACGUCAAAAUUGAAUUCCUGAAAGCAAGGUAUAUCAAAUCAUCCUUGUUUUGUUGUCCAGUGCUUAUUUCAUUGUGGAUAUACAUAUUUACUAUCACAUAUGGCGCAGAUCUUGAAUGACCUUUCUCUUGCAACCUCUCUUGACAAUUAGAUUUCAUUUGUCUAUGUAGGCUAAUUAAUGAUGGAAAACUAACUGAUGCUCUUGUUGUAUCCGACUGUUGUUUGCGCAAUGGAGCGUCUGAUAAAUUACUUUGAUUGUCCAUUGAUCAAAGGGAAUAAAUAAUAAGUCUAGGCACAGGACAACGUAACAAUAUGUGCUUGAGUCCUUACAUCAUACGUGAUCGUGUAAUUCUAUGACACAACCUGUUUAUGGAGUUAAAUCUUGACAAGGCAUAUUUCCCAUUUCUCAGCUUACUUUCUCAUAUCUUGCGCUAACCACUCCCAGGACACCAGAUCCGCGUCCUCAUUGUCCCCCCAGCCUUUCUCAUUGGACGAAGAUGACAGGGAGGAGAGGAUGCUAGCCAGGAAGGUGCACAUGGCAUUGGCGUCGCCGACCCCACACCAGCGAUGGUACAAUAAAAUCACCUUAACCAUCACCAGAAUUUGAUCCUCUUUCUUUCCUAAUUUAUUUAAUCACAUAGGCCAAGGAGCCAUCGGCGAUGGUGUAGCUGCAGCAGCCUGUCAAUUGGAGGAGAGGCCAAGGACCAUGGUUGAUCUAAGAGCAGUCUCAACUUGCUUGUAGAUCUGUUCUGGAGCAUGGUUCAUUUAUCUAUGAUUCCCCACCCUAACAAAGCAUGGUCCACAUCUUGAAUUUGAAGUGAACUUCAGUCUAAUUUGUUGCUGGUUGUGCUGAACAGUUCGGUCAGGGUGGACGUGCUUUUGUUCUAUUUGUGAGUUCCUUUGUCCGAGUUGAGUGCACCCAAAAUUGACUGCCGGGAGAAUUUGUACUGCCCAUUUGACGGUUUUGGAGGCUCAUGGUUUUGUGGCAUGGAUUGCUGCAUAUAACAUCUUCUAUAUCGUUUGCCGGUAGAAAGAUGUUAUUGUCCUGAGAUAUACUCUUCUGGGAUUAUGGUGUACAACUCCUGCUCUGUUGCAAACUGAAAUUCCCAUCGGGUUCCAUGUGUUUAUAGGGUUUCUUAGCCCCAAUAGGCAGUGUGAUAGGCACGACCUUGUUGGUGAUAUUUCUCAAUUGUUCUUUGAAUGCCCUUUGGCCAAGCUGUGGUGGCCUGAUCUUUCUAAAUUAGUUGAGAUCAAUAUGGGCAUAUUGCUAAAUGUUGGUUCAGCAGUAACAAGAAUAGGUAUUGUUGUUGCCUUUUGGUUGUUGGUUUCAGUUUCUGCUCUGGCAGAGUAGCAGUUCCAGUUCCGUGUAAUACUGAAUCUGUCAAUUGGGCUGUAACGCUUAUCGUUCUGUUCCAUCACCUGGGAUGAGGAAAUAUGUCUGUUUUGUGGGUCAAACAGAGUUAGCAUGGAGAAACUUUCUUUCUCCAUUUAGUAUUGAAACCUAUGAACGAAAUGACCAAUCAUGCAAAACCUGGCAUAUCUUGUUGGAUACCCAAUGUUAUAUGGAUACUUGCUAGAU
rnacentral:lncRNA from 1 species